CGGGACACGUGGUAUCCUGUCUGAAUAUGGGGGGACCAUCCUCCAAGGCUAAAUACUCCUGACUGACCGAUAGUGAACCAGUACCGUGAGGGAAAGGCGAAAAGAACCCCGGCGAGGGGAGUGAAAAAGAACCUGAAACCGUGUACGUACAAGCAGUGGGAGCACGCUUAGGCGUGUGACUGCGUACCUUUUGUAUAAUGGGUCAGCGACUUAUAUUCUGUAGCAAGGUUAACCGAAUAGGGGAGCCGAAGGGAAACCGAGUCUUAACUGGGCGUUAAGUUGCAGGGUAUAGACCCGAAACCCGGUGAUCUAGCCAUGGGCAGGUUGAAGGUUGGGUAACACUAACUGGAGGACCGAACCGACUAAUGUUGAAAAAUUAGCGGAUGACUUGUGGCUGGGGGUGAAAGGCCAAUCAAACCGGGAGAUAGCUGGUUCUCCCCGAAAGCUAUUUAGGUAGCGCCUCGUGAAUUCAUCUCCGGGGGUAGAGCACUGUUUCGGCAAGGGGGUCAUCCCGACUUACCAACCCGAUGCAAACUGCGAAUACCGGAGAAUGUUAUCACGGGAGACACACGGCGGGUGCUAACGUCCGUCGUGAAGAGGGAAACAACCCAGACCGCCAGCUAAGGUCCCAAAGUCAUGGUUAAGUGGGAAACGAUGUGGGAAGGCCCAGACAGCCAGGAUGUUGGCUUAGAAGCAGCCAUCAUUUAAAGAAAGCGUAAUAGCUCACUGGUCGAGUCGGCCUGCGCGGAAGAUGUAACGGGGCUAAACCAUGCACCGAAGCUGCGGCAGCGACGCUUAUGCGUUGUUGGGUAGGGGAGCGUUCUGUAAGCCUGUGAAGGUGUGCUGUGAGGCAUGCUGGAGGUAUCAGAAGUGCGAAUGCUGACAUAAGUAACGAUAAAGCGGGUGAAAAGCCCGCUCGCCGGAAGACCAAGGGUUCCUGUCCAACGUUAAUCGGGGCAGGGUGAGUCGACCCCUAAGGCGAGGCCGAAAGGCGUAGUCGAUGGGAAACAGGUUAAUAUUCCUGUACUUGGUGUUACUGCGAAGGGGGGACGGAGAAGGCUAUGUUGGCCGGGCGACGGUUGUCCCGGUUUAAGCGUGUAGGCUGGUUUUCCAGGCAAAUCCGGAAAAUCAAGGCUGAGGCGUGAUGACGAGGCACUACGGUGCUGAAGCAACAAAUGCCCUGCUUCCAGGAAAAGCCUCUAAGCAUCAGGUAACAUCAAAUCGUACCCCAAACCGACACAGGUGGUCAGGUAGAGAAUACCAAGGCGCUUGAGAGAACUCGGGUGAAGGAACUAGGCAAAAUGGUGCCGUAACUUCGGGAGAAGGCACGCUGAUAUGUAGGUGAAGCGACUUGCUCGUGGAGCUGAAAUCAGUCGAAGAUACCAGCUGGCUGCAACUGUUUAUUAAAAACACAGCACUGUGCAAACACGAAAGUGGACGUAUACGGUGUGACGCCUGCCCGGUGCCGGAAGGUUAAUUGAUGGGGUCAGCGCAAGCGAAGCUCUUGAUCGAAGCCCCGGUAAACGGCGGCCGUAACUAUAACGGUCCUAAGGUAGCGAAAUUCCUUGUCGGGUAAGUUCCGACCUGCACGAAUGGCGUAAUGAUGGCCAGGCUGUCUCCACCCGAGACUCAGUGAAAUUGAACUCGCUGUGAAGAUGCAGUGUACCCGCGGCAAGACGGAAAGACCCCGUGAACCUUUACUAUAGCUUGACACUGAACAUUGAGCCUUGAUGUGUAGGAUAGGUGGGAGGCUU
rnacentral:rRNA from 1 species